rnacentral:rRNA from 1 species
UACAGAGGUCUCAAGCGUUGUUCGGAUUCAUUGGGCGUAAAGGGUGCGUAGGCGGCGCGGUAAGUCGGGUGUGAAAUCUUGGAGCUUAACUCCGAAACUGCAUUCGAUACUGCCGUGCUUGAGGACUGGAGAGGAGACUGGAAUUUACGGUGUAGCGGUGAAAUGCGUAGAUAUCGUAAGGAAGACCAGUGGCGAAGGCGGGUCUCUGGACAGUUCCUGACGCUGAGGCACGAAGGUCAGGGGAACAAACGGG